rnacentral:misc_RNA from 1 species
AAAAUGCGAUACGUAAUGUGAUAUGCUAGUUGCCGUGAAUCAUUGAAAUCUUGAACGCAAAUUGCGCUAUGAGUGUUACAACUUAUAGCAUACCUGUUUGAGAAUCAUGCAUAAAUACUCAACACUAUUUUGUGUUGGAUUUGAGGUGUCUAAUAAAUUUAUUCUUGUUAGUCCCUUUAAAUGUAGUAUUGGUAACUAUUUGUAUGGUGAUUCUAUUGUUGCUUUGUGACAAAAUUGUGUAUUCCCCAAUUUCAUCUCUGAAUAAGGGAAUAUGUUAACAAUGGAAAAUUGUAAAUUUUCAUAUAUAUUGUCAAACUCCUUGUCUUAUUGUCAUCAAUAAAUUCCAUUCAAACCCUAUAUCAAUUCAAAAAACCCAUUUAUUUUAUUUUAUGAUCUCAAA